GUCGCUUAUGCGCUACAUAUUCUAAAAAUGGAACGAUACAGAGAAGAUUAGCAUGGCCCCUGCACAAGGAUGACACGUAUAUCUUGAGUGGAUAGCCCUUCGGGGCAAAUUAUUUUU
rfam:Lobosporangium transversale strain NRRL 3116 BCR41scaffold_9, whole genome shotgun sequence.